GCUGCCUGCAGCUGUGCUUUUCCCACCUUUUCAGAGUCUAUAUCCCUCUGGAACUAUAAGGCAAAAUAAAUUCCUUUAUAAAUCACUUUUGGUCAUGGUGUGCUAUCACAGCAAGAAAAUAUGUUAUUAAUAUAGUCAGUCUUAGCGUUGCUGACAUUUGGUGCAAAAUAUGCCUUUGUUGUAGGAUAUUUAGCAGUUCCCCAGCCAGAAGCACUACACACACUUCAAUUUGGAUGACCAAAUAUGUCUGUGAACACCGACAAAUGUCUGAUACACAUCUAUCUUUGCCAAAGUACCCUUCGAGUCUUUUCCUAAAAGAAAACUCAUGACCAGGAGAAGUGUAGGCAUUUCAAACAGUUAACUGGGGACAGAGUUGUAACUAUAAUUGAAAUAGCUUACUUUGUGGCUAGAGAGAUGGCAAAGUGGUUUAGUGCACUUGUGGCUCUUCCAGAGGAUGUGUGUUUCAGUCCCAGCACCCAUGUGGUGGCUAACAACUGUUUAUGACUCUAGGCCCAGGGAAUCCAUGGCUAUUUUCUUGCAUCCAUAUGCAGGGCACACUUGCGUGUGCAUGGGACACAGACAUACAUGCAAGCAAAACAGCCAUACAU
rnacentral:lncRNA from 1 species